rnacentral:rRNA from 1 species
AUUGAACGCUGGCGGCAUGCCUUACACAUGCAAGUCGAACGGUAACGGGCCUUCGGGUGCCGACGAGUGGCGAACGGGUGAGUAAUGUAUCGGGACGUACCUUUCAGGGGGGGAUAACGUAGCGAAAGUUACGCUAAUACCGCAUAUUCUGUGAGCAGGAAAGCAGGGGAUCGCAAGACCUUGCGCUGAUUGAGCGGCCGAUAUCAGAUUAGCUAGUUGGUGAGGUAAAGGCACACCAAGGCGACGAUCUGUAGCGGGGCUGAGAGGAUGAUCCGCAACACUGGAACUGAGACACGGUCCAGACUCCUACGGGAGGCAGCAGUGGGGAAUUUUGGACAAUGGGGGCAACCCUGAUCCAGCCAUGCCGCGUGAGUGAAGAAGGCCUUCGGGUUGUAAAGCUCUUUCGGCCGGGAAGAAAUCGUAUCAGCUAAUACCUGGUGCGGAUGACGGUACCGGCAUAAGAAGCACCGGCUAACUACGUGCCAGCAGCCGCAGUAAAAC